CCGGACACUCAGAAAGUGUCUGACAACCAUUUGAGUGAGAAUAGAGAUGAUGCAAUUGGCACAGAUGAUUUUAGAUCUGGUGUCUUCAUGAAGAAAGAAAGGCUUGUGUUGGGACAUUUCUUGAGUUUCCUUAAGAAACUCAUCAUGUUGGGUAACAUGAAAGGCAGUGGCAUUUCAAGAAGCCAGAGCUGAAGGGUUAGCAGGCAGGAAACAGACAGUUGCAUUGGCAUCCCAGAAAAUUCUGAAAGAUUUCCGGGUUCAAAUGCAGUUACCGCAACCUGUAUCAACAACCUACCAGAGGGUAUGUGUAUCACACAGGAAGUUGAGUACAUAACAACACAAUUUGAAAUAAGGUUCUGGAGGAGUUUAGAUAUCCUGCUGAGAGAAGUGGCUCAAAGUAAAUUCAUUCUGGUUGUUCUGUUGCAAUCAAAUAAUAUGGUAGAAAAGUUGGUCUUGUCGCUAGAGUCUACCAUAAGUGAAAAGUUAAAUUGCAAGAGCACCCAUUCCAAUUCUCUUGUUAUAUACACUAACAG